GAGGUUGUGGCUCAGUGGUAGAGCGCUCACCUCGCAUGUGCAAGGCUCUGGGUUCGAUCCUCAGCACCACA
rnacentral:tRNA from 1 species